UAUGACGGUACCCUUUCGAAUAAGAGGUUGCUAACUCUGUGCCAGCAGCAGCGGUAAUACAGAGACCUCGAGCGUUAUCCGGAUUUACUGGGCGUAAAGCGUCUGUAGGGGGUUUGUUAAGUUCCAAGUAAAAUCUUAAGGCUCAACUUUAAGUUCGCUUGGAAAACUAAUAAACUGGAGUCCAGCAGAGGUGCAUGGGAACUUGCGGUGUAGGAGUGAAAUCCGUUGAUAUCGCAAGGAACACCAAAGGCGAAGGCAUUGCACUGGGCUGGUACUGACCCUGAGAGACGAAAGCGUGGGGAGCAAAACGGAUUAGAUACCCGUGUAGUCCACGCCGUAAACGAUGGAUACUAGAUGUUCGGGGAUUCGACCCCCUGGGUGUCACAGCUAACGCGUUAAGUAUCCCGCCUGGGAAGUACGGCCGCAAGGCUAAAACUCAAAGGAAUAGACGGGGAUCCGCACAAGCGGUGGAGCGUCUGGUUUAAUUUGAUAGUAAGCAAUGGACCUCACCAAGGUUUGACAUCCUAUGACAACCCUGGAAACAGGGCUUCCUUCGGGCAUAGUGACAGGUGCUGCAUGGUCGUCGUCAGUUCGUGCCGUGAGGUGUUCCGUUAAGUCGGGAAACGAACGAAACCCUCGUCGCAUGUUACAAAUUUCAUGCGAGACUGCCCGGGUCAACCGGGAGGAAGGCGGGGAUGACGUCAGAUCAGCAUGGCCCUUAUACCUUGGGCUACACAGGCGCUACAAUGGCCGGUACAAAGGGUUGCAAAACCGCGAGGUGAAGCUAAUCCCAUAAAGCCGGUCCAAGUUCGGAUUGGAGGCUGCAACUCGCCUCCAUGAAGUUGGAAUCGCUAGUAAUCGUGGAUCAGCCAUACCACGGUGAAUACGUUCCCGGAUCUUGUACUCACCGCCCGUCACACCAAGAGAGUUGGUAGCUCCUGAAG
rnacentral:rRNA from 1 species